rnacentral:rRNA from 1 species
GACGAACGCCGGCGGCGUGCUUAACACAUGCAAGUCGAACGGUAAGGCCCUUCGGGGUACACGAGUGGCGAACGGGUGAGUAACACGUGGGUGAUCUGCCCUGCACUUCGGGAUAAGCCUGGGAAACUGGGUCUAAUACCGGAUAGGACUCCGGACUGCAUGGUCUGGGGUGGAAAGCUUUUGCGGUGUGGGAUGGGCCCGCGGCCUAUCAGCUUGUUGGUGGGGUGAUGGCCUACCAAGGCGACGACGGGUAGCCGGCCUGAGAGGGUGACCGGCCACACUGGGACUGAGAUACGGCCCAGACUCGUACGGGAGGCAGCAGUGGGGAAUAUUGCACAAUGGGCGCAAGCCUGAUGCAGCGACGCCGCGUGAGGGAUGACGGCCUUCGGGUUGUAAACCUCUUUCAGCAUCGACGAAGCGAAAGUGACGGUAGGUGCAGAAGAAGGACCGGCCAACUACGUGCCAGCCGCCGCAGUAA